UGGGGAAUCUUGCACAAUGGGCGAAAGCCUGAUGCAGCAACGCCGCGUGCGGGAAGACAGCCCUAGGGUUGUAAACCGCUUUCAGCAGGGAAGAAACUGACGGUACCUGCAGAAGAAGGUGCGGCCAACUACGUGCCAGCAGCCGCGGUGACACGUAGGCACCAAGCGUUAUCCGGAUUUAUUGGGCGUAAAGAGCUCGUAGGCGGUUCGGUAAGUCGGGUGUGAAAUCCAAGGCUCAACCUUGGGACGCCACCCGAUACUGCUGUGACUCGAGUGCAGUAGGGGAGCAGGGAAUUCCUGGUGUAGCGGUGAAAUGCGCAGAUAUCAGGAGGAACACCAGUGGCGAAGGCGCUGCUCUGGGCCGUAACUGACGCUGAGGAGCGAAAGCAUGGGUAGCAAAACAGGAUUAGAUACCCUGGUAGUCCAUGCCGUAAACGUUGGGCACUAGGUGUGGGUCUCAACCAACGAGAUCCGCGCCGUCGCUAACGCACU
rnacentral:rRNA from 1 species